rnacentral:rRNA from 1 species
UACGUAGGGUGCGAGCGUUGUCCGGAAUUAUUGGGCGUAAAGGGCUCGUAGGCGGUUUGUCGCGUCGGGAGUGAAAACGCCGUGCUUAACACGGCGCUUGCUUUCGAUACGGGCAGACUAGAGGUAUGCAGGGGAGAACGGAAUUCCUGGUGUAGCGGUGAAAUGCGCAGAUAUCAGGAGGAACAUCCGUGGCGAAGGCGGCUCUCUGGGACGGUACUGACGCUGAGAAGCGAAAGCAUGGGGAGCGAACAGG